rnacentral:rRNA from 1 species
UAGGGAAUCUUCCACAAUGGACGAAAGUCUGAUGGAGCAACGCCGCGCGAGUGAAGAAGGGUUUCGGCUCGUAAAACUCUGUUGUUAAAGAAGAACAUAUCUGAGAGUAACUGUUCAGGUAUUGACGGUAUUUAACCAGAAAGCCACGGCUAACUACGUGCCAGCAGCCGCGGUAAUACGUAGGUGGCAAGCGUUGUCCGGAUGUAUUGGGCGUAAAGCGAGCGCAGGCGGUUUUUUAAGUCUGAUGUGAAAGCCUUCGGCUCAACCGAAGAAGGGCAUCGGAAACUGGGAAACGUGAGUGCAGAAGAGGACAGUGGAACUCCAUGUGUAGCGGUGAAAUGCGUAGAUAUAUGGAAGAACACCAGUGGCGAAGGCUGCUGUAUGGUCUGUAACUGACGCUGAGGCUCGAAAGUAUGGGUAGCAAACAGG